GCAACGGGGGCAGGCUAAGAAGCGCGGAAGUGUCCACGGUCGCCGUUCCGCCGCGCUGAGCCACUGGCGAGACCGUGCCUCAUUACC
rnacentral:ncRNA from 1 species